UGCAGUCGAGCGCCCAGCAAUGGGAGCGGCAGACGGGUGAGUAACGCGUGGGGAUCUACCCAUUGGUACGGAAUAACCCAGGGAAACUUGGACUAAUACCGUAUGUGCCCUUCGGGGGAAAGAUUUAUCGCCAAUGGAUGAACCCGCGUCGGAUUAGCUAGUUGGUGGGGUAAAGGCUCACCAAGGCGACGAUCCGUAGCUGGUCUGAGAGGAUGAUCAGCCACACUGGGACUGAGACACGGCCCAGACUCCUACGGGAGGCAGCAGUGGGGAAUAUUGGACAAUGGGCGCAAGCCUGAUCCAGCCAUGCCGCGUGAGUGAUGAAGGCCUUAGGGUUGUAAAGCUCUUUCGCCGGUGAAGAUAAUGACGGUAACCGGAGAAGAAGCCCCGGCUAACUUCGUGCCAGCAGCCGCGGUAAUACGAAGGGGGCUAGCGUUGCUCGGAAUCACUGGGCGUAAAGCGCACGUAGGCGGAUCGUUAAGUCAGGGGUGAAAUCCUGGGGCUCAACCUCAGAACUGCCCUUGAUACUGGCGAUCUCGAGUUCGAGAGAGGUUGGUGGAACUCCGAGUGUAGAGGUGAAAUU
rnacentral:rRNA from 1 species